UACGGGGGGAGCAAGCGUUGUUCGGAUUUACUGGGCGUAAAGGGCGCGUAGGCGGUGCUCUAAGUCGGAUGUGAAAACUCUGGGCUCAACCCAGAGCCUGCAUCCGAAACUGGAGUGCUAGAGUUCUGGAGGGGGUAGCGGAAUUCCUGGUGUAGCGGUGAAAUGCGUAGAUAUCUGGAGGAACACCGGUGGCGAAGGCGGCAUCCUGGACCGACACUGACACUGAGGAGCGAAAGCCAGGGGAGCAAACGGG
rnacentral:rRNA from 1 species